GUAGCCUCUGAUGAGCCUCUUACUCGGUCAGGGUUAUUUGGUUGUGGGAAGCAUUAGCACCAGUCUAGAUGCCUGCUUAGUGUCACACAAUGCUCACAAUAUAGCAUCACUCUCAGGAACUGUAGGGAAUUAAUAUGGCACAUAGAUGCAGACAUCUGGUGCUGCUUUGAUCAUUGAGUUGCAGGUGACUCUGGUAGACCCUGAGGUCUUAAGCAGUGAUUUCUGAGCUCCACAGGGAGCCAUCUGUUAUAUAAGCAUUAAUAUACAACACAUUCCCCCCCCCCAGAAAAGUCUGCAAUAUAUAUAUAGAUUGAGAUUUUAUUUUUAAAAUGCUGAGUAAGACCAUUACAGGCUUUGUGGCAAAAGUAAUUUCCAGCCUAAAGUAUGUCUAGGAUUGAUUCUGGGAUCAUUUAUUUGCUAAUAAAUUAAAACUGUUUUAUCGCUGAAUCAAAGCAAAUGACUACUAUCUCGCAUUCCCCUGUUCCUUUCUCUUUUAACAUUCAUUUCCAGAGAGAGGGAAGGAGGGAGAAAGAAAGAGCAUUAUUUUAUGAAAAUCAUAGCCACACUUUCUUUCAGAACUCUUUCCAUAACACACUAUAGACCUCUGAAUGAACAUUCAGUGUGUUCCAAGGCCCCAUGACACUUCAGUUGCCUAUGGAGUAAAUAACCAAACAAGACAUUAUAUAGGUUGAUGGACUUGAAAAGGCCUUCAGAUCUCUUAACUCGUGUAUGGUGAAUCCAUAGCAGCACUCCCGCAACCUUAACAGUUCUUUGUGAUGUCAGCAGAACUGUGCGUGGUCUUCUCCAAUGAGGUGCAAGUGGGUCUUCUUUCCACUAUUUGACCCACACUUCAGUACUUCCACUUUGUCCCUCAGUUCCUCCCUUUUUGAACAGGUCUGAGAGAGAUGAUUCCCUUGUUGCAUAUUCCACCUUCUGAGAAAUGAAAUUGUCAGUGAGGCAACUGAGGAAUUUGUUGGACCUUCCAUUCUUGAAAGAGUUUGAAUUCCAACAGAUAUCAGGGUAGUUGAAGUCUCCCAUGACUGCUAUCUCUCUCCUUUUUGAAUGUUUGGUCAUCUGCUCUACGAAGGCAUUAUCAAAGUCCUCUGCCUUCGAGGGCUAUAGCAGACACCCUCAGUAAAUAAAUAAAUAAAUAAAUUUUAUUUGUAUCCCGCUCUCCCCAGCCAAAGCCAGGCUCAGAGUGGCUAACAUUACAUAAAUAAGACAAAAUGCAUAAUACAAUAUACAAUAUGCAAAUAAAAUAACAUUCAACGUAUAUUAAAACAAUACAGAAUAAUAUUAAAUAUCAGCGGUUCAAAAUUAAACAGAAAUCCACUCAACAGUUACAAUAAGUAAUUUCUAAACUCCAAUCAAUAAAACAACAGCAAACCACAGUGCACAACAUAAUACAAUACAAAAUGAGAAGCAGAGACAGGAGGGUGGAGCAAGGCAGGUGGAAGGAGGCCUUGCCUGAUGGAGUCUCUCCCCUCACAGUUCUUCCUCCAGACACAGCUUCCUUAUGAAGAAUCCCAGGACCAGGGGGUGGGGCAAGGCAGGCGGAAGGAGGCCUUGCCUGGUGAAGUCUCUCCCCUCAUAGUAAGACGACUGUUCUUUCCCUCACCUACAAUUUUUACCCAUAUACGUUCAUCCUGCUUUCUAUGCUCCAGGUCAUGGAUCUCACCACAAGUGUACAUAUCCUUUACAUAUAAUGCUGCUCCUCUCCCCUUCCUGUUUGGUCUGUUCCUUCUGAACAUGUUAUAACCCUCAAUUUCUACAUUCCAUUCAUGAGUCUCAUCCCACCAGGUUUCAGUAAUGCCUAUUAGACCAUAUUUGCCAUCCUGUAUUAAGAGCUUAUUAGUAACGUUGCAUUAAUGUAACAUUUUAAUGUGUAACUGUGUAAUAUUUUGUCUAAAUUGUCUGUUGUUGCUUUUAUUUCUGCACACCUCUAAUAUGCUCCCUUCAUUGGAGCAUGGACCUUGUGAAGGUGCUCC
rnacentral:lncRNA from 1 species